UGGACCACUUGGACCGGGUCAAUGGACGACCAUCAAGGUUCAUUGCCUAGAUAUGUGACUUCCAUUGCACUUGGGAGGGGUGCCUGUUUAAGGUCUCCCCUUAGUGGGAGAGGCCGAGAGGCUACGUCAUAAUUUGUGGUAGUGGGGGCCUGCGUUCGCGAGGACCCCCA